UGUAAAGCACUUUCAGUAAGGAGGAAAACCUUACGGUUAAUAACCGUGAGGCUUGACGUUACUUACAGAAGAAGCACCGGCUAACUCCGUGCCAGCAGCCGCGGUAAUACGGAGGGUGCAAGCGUUAAUCGGAAUUACUGGGCGUAAAGCGCGCGUAGGUGGCUUGAUAAGCCGGUUGUGAAAGCCCCGGGCUCAACCUGGGAACUGCAUCCGGAACUGUUAGGCUAGAGUGCAGGAGAGGAAGGUAGAAUUCCCGGUGUAGCGGUGAGAUGCGUAGAGAUCGGGAGGAAUACCAGUGGCGAAGGCGGCCUUCUGGACUGACACUGACACUGAGGUGCGAAAGCGUGGGUAGCAAACAGGAUUAGAUACCCUGGUAGUCCACGCCGUAAACGAUGUCGACUAGCCGUUGGGAGCCUCGAGUUCUUAGUGGCGCAGUUAACGCAAUAAGUCGAC
rnacentral:rRNA from 1 species